UUUCUGGGCAGUCACAUGGUCUGCUGACAUUACCAGUCUUUCUCCUGCAUAAGAACUAGCUGCUGCCAUUUCCUAAAAUGACUUACAAAAUGGGAUAUGCAGAACACAGGGCUAUUUUCAAGCACACUACCAUUCAACACCACAAGGAUGCCACGACCUUCACGUCCCAGAUCCCGUCAAAGGCGCUAACAUGAGGAAGGCCAAGAGACCGCAACAAGACUGCUGAUCUCCACCCAGCACCACCAUCGGCUAUGGAGCAGCACAGCAAGGAGGAGAUGAUGUGUCCUAUUUGUCUUUCAGGAUAUGAGGAUGGUGAGGACACUCCAAUUCUGACCUGCGCUCACCAGUUUCACAGCGGCUGCAUCCAGCUUGACUGUGCUCUCCCUGGUGGCCAUCAUCCCCACCGGACCGUUUUUCUGGCACCUCGAACAGGCAGAUUCCUCUCUCCUCUGGGCUUGGCCUCCUAUACUUUACACUAGACAAGGUGGUCACAGAAACAAACUGCUGCGUAUAAACUGUAUUGAGCUGUUCAUUAAGGCAGGCAUCUAUGGCAAUGAGCGGUAUUGCAGCUGUGGAUAACUCCGUAGAUCAUUAUAUAUAAAAUCUGUAAAAUAUAACGUUUAUGUGGGUACAGUGUUGCAUUAGACAUAUUGUCAAUCAAAGUAUGUAUGCCUGAAAAGUGACAGCUGGUGUGAUGUCACAAGCGGGGAUUGGCUGCAGACCAAGGCUCAAGUCACUUCUGCACUGGGAGCUGACCGAGUCGCAUCGUCAGAGCUUUUCUCCUGAUAUUCACUGCGAUUCUUAUUUUCAUUAAUAUUUAUUUCUAUUACUAUCGUUGUUUAUAUUAAUAUUAUAUCUUUUCUUUUUUUCCUAUUUUUAGGUACACCGGCAUUAAACACCAUCAGGAUGCCACGACCUUCACGUCGCAGAUCCCGCCAAAGGUGCUAGUAUGAGGAAGGCCAAAAGUCUCUAUUCGCCCAUCGGAUGAGGUCCAGAGCAAAAUGUUGGUGGAGACAGGAGGACGCAGCCAUCAACAGGAGCCGUUCGCCCAGAGACCUCAACAAGGCUGCUGAGCACCACCAUCGGCCAUGGAGCAGCAUGGCAUGGAGAGGAUAGUGUGUCCCAUUUGUCUUGCAGGAUAUGAAGAUGGAGAAGACACUGACCUGCACUCAUCAAUUUCACAGCGGCUGCAUCCAACGAUGGCUUCAAGAAAGUGCAACUUGUCCAAUUUGCGGGCUGCUAUUCCUAAGCAGCAACAGCGCCCGAGAUUCCAGAGUACACCGGCAUUAAACACCAUCAGGAUGCCACAACCUUCACGUCGCAGAUCCCACCAAAGGUGCUAGUAUGAGGAAGGCCAAAAGUCUCUAUUCGCCCAUCGGAUGAGGUCCAGAGCAAAACGUUGGCGGAGACAGGAGGACGCAGCCAUCAACAGGAGCCGUUCGCCCAGAGACCUCAACAAGGCUGCUGAGCACCACCAUCGGCCAAGGAGCACUAUGCCAAGGAGAGGAUAGUGUGUCCCAUUUGUCUUGCAGGAUAUGAAGAUGGAGAAGAUACUACAAUUCUGACCUGCACUCAAUUUCACAGCGGCUGCAUCCAACGAUGGCUUCAAGAAAGUGCAACCUGUCCAAUUUGCGGGCUGCUAUUCCUAACCAGCAACAGCGCCCGAGAUUCCAGGGUACACCGGCAUUAAACACCAUCAGGAUGCCACAACCUUCACGUCGCAGACCCUGCCAAAGGUGCUAGUAUGAGGAAGGCCAAAAGUCUCUAUUCGCCCAUCGGAUGAGGUCCAGAGCAAAACGUUGGCGGAGACAGGAGGACGCAGUCAUCAACAGGAGCCGUUCGCCCAGAGACCUCAACAAGGCUGCUGAGCACCACCAUCGGCCAUGGAGCAGCAUGCCAAGGAGAGGAUAGUGUGUCCUAUUUGUCUUGCAGAAUAUGAAGAUGGAGAAGAUACUACAAUUCUGACCUGCACUCAAUUUCACAGCGGCUGCAUACAACGAUGGCUUCAAGAAAGUGCAACUUGUCCAAUUUGCCGGGCUGCUAUUCCUAACCAGCAACAGCGCCGGAGAUUCCAGGGUCGGUUUGGAAUCGAAGAAUUUAUACUGGAUGCUUGUAGUGGUUGAUGAUUUGAGGGAGAAAAAAAACAACAACUAUGUAAAUGUAUAUUAUAACUUCUCUUUAUAUAGGAGGCUUGUAGUUAAAAAU